rnacentral:rRNA from 1 species
UACGGAGGGGGCUAGCGUUGUUCGGAAUUACUGGGCGUAAAGCGCACGUAGGCGGCUUUGUAAGUUAGAGGUGAAAGCCCAGGGCUCAACCCUGGAACUGCUCUUUAGACUGCCUGUCUGGAAUUCGGAAGAGGUUGGUGGAACUCCCAGUGUAGAGGUGAAAUUCGCAGAUAUUGGGAAGAACACCGGUGGCGAAGGCGGAUCUCUGGGCCAUUACUGACGCUGAGGAGCGAAAGCGUGGGGAGCGAACAGG